rnacentral:rRNA from 1 species
ACUCGUUGAUCCUGCGAGAGAGUGCUGCUAUUGGGGUUCGGUUUAGACAUGCAAGUCAGGGCCAGCAAUGGACCGGCGUAAUGCUCAGUAACACGUCGAUAAUCUGCCCUCCGGUUGAGGAUAACCUUGGGAAACUGAGGCUAAAACUCGAUAUGGGAAUUCUUCUGGAAGGAUUUUUCCUUGAAAUGCAAAGCCUGUGGAUGAGUCGGCGGCCGAUUAGGCUGUUGGUGGGGUAAUGGCCCACCAAACCUGCGAUCGGUAGGGGCCUUGAGAGAGGUUGCCCCGAGAAGGGUACUGAGACACAGACCCUAACCCCACGGGGAGCAGCAGUCACGAAAACUUUACAAUGCGCGAAAGCGUGAUAAGGGAACCCUAAGUGCUCAUACAAUGUAUGGGCUUUUGCCGAGAGUAAAUACCUCGGAGAAUAAGUGGUGGCAAGACUGGUGCCAGCAGCCGCGGUAACCCCAGCGCCACAAGUGGCACUCACAUUUAUUUGGCCUAAAGCGUCCGUAGCAGGUCUGGAAAAUCCUUUGUGAAAUCGUAGGGCUUAACUCUACGGCGGGCAGGGGACACUACUAGACUUGGGACCGGGAGGGGUCAGAAGUAUUCUUGGGGGAGCGGUAAAAUGCUAUAAUCCCUUGAAGACUACCAGUGGCGAAGGCGUCUGACCAGAACGGAUCCGACUGUGAGGGACGAAAGCUAGGGGAGCGAUCCGGAUUAGAUACCCGAGUAGUCCUAGCCGUAAACGCUGCGAGCUAGGUGUUGCAUUAUCUAUAGGAUUAUGCAGUGUCGAAGCGAAGGUGUUAAGCUCGCCGCCUGGGAAGUACGGCCGCAAGACUGAAACUUAAAGGAAUUGGCGGGGGAGCACCACAAGGGGUGCGGCGUGCGGUUUAAUCUAACUCAACGCAGAGAAUCUCACCAGGGGCGACGGCAAGAAGAAGGUCAGUCUAAAGGGCUUACCUGAUGAGCCGAGAGGUAGUGCAUGGCCGUCGUCAGCUCGUGCCGUAAGGUGUCUUGUUAAGUCAAGCAACGAGCGAGACCCAUACUCACAAUUGCUAACGGGCGGAUUUCCGUGACUGAGCACAUUGUGAGGACUGCUCUGGAAACAGAGAGGAAGGUGUGGGCCACGGUAGGUCUGUAUGCUCCGAAUCCACUGGGCUACACGCGCGCAACAAUGGUAUGGACAAUGGGAUACAACCCCGAAAGGGGAAGUCAAACCUCUAAACCAUAUCCUAGUUCGGAUCGAGGGCUGAAACUCGCCCUCGUGACGUUGGAAUCCCUAGUAAUCAGAAGUCAUCAUCUUCCGGUGAAUAUGUCCCUGCUCCUUGCACACACCGCCCGUCAAACCAACCGAGCAGGGUCUAGGUGAGGCUGGGUUUAUUGAUCCUGUCGAAUCUAGGCUCAGUGAGGUGGGUUAAGUCGUCACAAGGUA